CAUCAGCUGUUUGUAGCUUGUAGAGGUAACAUUGGUACACUGACUAGUAACUUGCAGAGCUGAAUUUGGUACACUAGCUGCUUGUAACUUGCAAAGCUAACUUUGGUACACUAGCUGCUUGUAACUUGUAGAGGUAACAUAGGUACACUGACUACUAGUAACUUGCAGGGUUAACUUUGGUACACUAGUUGCUUGUAACUUAUAGAGGUAACAUUGGUACAUUGACUACUAGUAACUUGCAUGGUUAACUUUGGUACACUAGCUGCUUGUAACUUGUAGAGGUAACAUUGGUACACUAGCUGCUUGUAACUUGUAGAGGUAACAUUGGUACAUUGACUACUAGUAACUUGCAGGGUUAACUUUGGUACACUAGCUGCUUGUAACUUGUAGAGGUAACAUUGAUACACUAGCUGCUUGUAACUUGUAGAGGUAACAUUGGUACACUGACUACUAAUAACUUGCAGAGUUAACUUUGGUACACUAGCUGCUUGUAACUUGUAGAGGUAACAUUGGUACACUGACUACUAGUAACUUAUUUGUAGCUGGUUUAGUUAACAGAAUAUACAAUGUUAUCAUUAGUUUUCAUUGCAAAUAUGCUAUUAACUGUUUUAAGUAUUAUCUCUGUCACAAAACAAUGUACUUUUGAGA